rnacentral:rRNA from 1 species
UACGGGGGGGGCAAGCGUUGUUCGGAAUUACUGGGCGUAAAGGGCGCGUAGGCGGCCAUCUAAGUCAGACGUGAAAUCCCCCGGCUUAACCUGGGAACUGCGUCUGAUACUGGACGGCUUGAGUAUGGGAGAGGGAUGUAGAAUUCCAGGUGUAGCGGUGAAAUGCGUAGAUAUCUGGAGGAAUACCGGUGGCGAAGGCGGCAUCCUGGACCAUUACUGACGCUGAGGCGCGAAAGCGAGGGGAGCAAACGGG